UGGGGAAUUUUGGGCAAUGGGGGAAACCCUGACCCAGCAACGCCGCGUGAAGGAUGAAGUAUUUCGGUAUGUAAACUUCGAAAGAAUAGGAAGAAUAAAUGACGGUACUAUUUAUAAGGUCCGGCUAACUACGUGCCAGCAGCCGCGGUAAUACGUAGGGACCAAGCGUUGCUCGGAUUUACUGGGCGUAAAGGGCGCGUAGGCGGCAAUUCAAGUCAUCUGUGAAAUCUCCGGGCUUAACUCGGAACGGUCAGAUGAUACUGCUUUGCUAGAGUGCAGAAGGGGCAAUCGGAAUUCUUGGUGUAGCGGUGAAAUGCGUAGAUAUCAAGAGGAACACCUGAGGUGAAGACGGGUUGCUGGGCUGACACUGACGCUGAGGCGCGAAAGCCAGGGGAGCAAACGGGAUUAGAUACCCCAGUAGUCCCUGAGCGGGCUGGCAAGGCGCAU
rnacentral:rRNA from 1 species